rnacentral:lncRNA from 1 species
GGUCGAAUUUUUGUUUUCAGAUUUGAAGGCUAUGUUUCUAUGUUUGUUGAUUAAUUAUUUGUAUUUUGGUAGAACAUUUGCAUUUAAUAUAUAUAAAGGUCUUAACUUAUCAUAGUGUUUCGCACGUGUGAUUAGAGAAGCUAAACAUAAACCUCUCCGGAUCUAAAAAUGAUCUUUGAAUUUUUUCAGAUCUAUUCGUAGAAAACUUCCAUAGAUCAGUUUUGCAAUUGACUUUCUAUGUGUUUUUCAGAGAAGAAUUUUUUGGGAGUCCUCCAACUUUUCUUUGUUAAUAAAAAAACACAAAAAUAAGUCUUCUCGGAUAAAUAUGUUAGUUUUGCACUAGCCGAAUUGUGUUAGAAAUUUGACUUUCAAUAGAAAACUUCCAGAAAAGUCUUUUUUAAUUAUACCUAGAAGUCUGAUCACGAUCAGUGGAAGUCUGCGUAUGUUAGUUUUGCAGUUGACAAUUAAAAGUAAAACAUUUAAUUUUCGCCAU